rnacentral:rRNA from 1 species
UACGUAGGGGGCAAGCGUUGUCCGGAAUCAUUGGGCGUAAAGGGCGCGUAGGUGGCGGGACAAGCGUGCGGUGAAAGCUCGGGGCUCAACCCCGGGUCGGCCGUGCGAACUGUUUUGCUUGAGCACUGUAGAGGCAGGCGGAAUUCCGGGUGUAGCGGUGGAAUGCGUAGAGAUCCGGAAGAACACCGGUGGCGAAGGCGGGUCUCUGGGCAACAACUGACGCUGAGGAGCGAAAGCGUGGGGAGCGAACAGG